AUACGGAGGGAGCAAGCGUUGUUCGGAAUCACUGGGCGUAAAGCGAGUGUAGGUUGUCAGGUAAGUAGGAUGUGAAAGCCCGGGGCUCAACCCCGGAAUUGCAUUCUAAACUGCCUGGCUAGAGUCCCGGAGAGGGAGGUGGAAUUCCGAGUGUAGAGGUGAAAUUCGUAGAUAUUCGGAGGAACACCCGAGGCGAAGGCGACCUCCUGGACGGUGACUGACACUGAGACUCGAAAGCGUGGGGAGCAAACAGGAUUAGAAACCCCGGUAGUCC
rnacentral:rRNA from 1 species